UACGAGAGGCCCAAACGUUAUUCGGAAUUACUGGGCUUAAAGAGUUCGUAGGCGGCAUGAAAAGUAGGGUGUGAAAGCCCUCGGCUCAACCGAGGAAUUGCGCUCUAAACUGUCGUGCUAGAGGAACCUAGAGGUGAGCAGAACUGAUGGUGGAGCGGUGAAAUGCGUUGAUAUCAUCAGGAAUACCGGAGGCGAAGGCGGCUCACUGGGGGUUUUCUGACGCUGAGGAACGGAAAGCCAGGGGAGCGAACGGG
rnacentral:rRNA from 1 species